UUACAUCAGUAGUCAUCUAUGCGGCAAAGUGUGGGCGGCACCGACCCUGCCAGGUGCCCUUCUGGACAUCCUCCAAAACCUAGUGGCUAAUACACGGACGCAACGGUCUGCCACGGUGUUGCCGGUGAUUCACCUCGCUGACAAGCGGUGGAUUGCGCCCAGCUGCUCGGAAGACCAGCGCCUGGGAAAUGGCAGCGUGUGUCAGGCUGAAUCAGGCUGGCCCUCUCAUGGGCAGUCGCGCUGGCAGAGUUGGUGACCCCCUCGCGGGGCCACGGGCAUCGCUUGGCCGCACGAACUUCUGACCUAUCAGCUUCGACUGUGGUGUAGUGGACCACAGUGGCAGUGACGGGUAACGGAGAAUCAGGGUUCGAUUCCGGAGAGGGAGCCUGAGAGACGGCUACCACUACCAAGGUGGGCAGCAGGCGCGCAAAUUGCCCAAUGCAGACACAUCUUGCGAGGCAGCGACGAACCGCAGCAACUCCGCUCGCCCAUAAAGCGGGCGGAGCUUGGAAUGGAUGCUAUCCAAACACAGUGAUGAGUAACGACUGGAGGGCAAGUCUGGUGCCAGCAGCUGCGGUAAUUCCAGCUCCAAGGGCGUAUACUAACAUUGCUGCUGUUAAAACACUUGUAGUCGGCUGCUGGGCGCAGGUCUGCUGGGCGGCCGCGGCGACGGGAGUAGAGGACCCCAAACGGCUCUUCGGGGCCAGGGGAGGCUCGCUCCCGAACGCCGCGGACUCAACCCCCAGCGGUAUGUUCCUGCGCCCGCUCGUCUCACGAACGGUGCGGACCCGCUCCUGCUUCCAAGUCUCCUUCAGUGGGGACCGACGCGGCAUGUGCACGGCACGCUUGCCAGGACGUAGCAGGGGGCACGGCCCAGCGCCGUGCAGAGACCCCUGGUCCGCCACAGGAGCCCACCGUUUGUGACACCGUGGAGAACUCAGUAUGCUCAAAGUGUCCGGCUCGACCGGCUGAAUGCUCAUCCAUGGAAUGUCGUAGCAUCGACCGAACGUGGCAAGGAGUUGUGCUGGCCUUGGUGCUCGUUCUGGGGGAACCUGGUGCUGUACCCCCGGUGGCGGCGGGGUGUGCGGUCCGGCCGCCCGGAUCCCCUCGGGGGUUCGGGCCGGUCGCCGCACACGUACCACCCGACGCUCCGGUGCGUGGCAUGCAACCGAUCGUCCACGAUGGAAUCGCUCAGGGUGAAAGAUACUGCAACGCCAGAGGUGAAAUUCUUAGACCGCUGCAAGAUCUGCGGCGGCGAAGGCGUUCUGCAAGUGCGUGUUCGUCGAUCAAGAAUGUGAGUGUGGGGAUCGAAGAUGAUCAGACACCGUCGUAGUCCACGACCGUAAACCAUGUCAGCUCGGUGUCGAGGCUGCGAGUCUAUCGAACAGCCCCGUCGCCAUGCCCCCUGCAACGAGAAAUCCAAGCCUUUGGAUUCAGGGGGGAGUACUGUCGCAAGGCUGAAACUUAAAGGAAUUGACGGAAUGGCACCACAAGGCGUGGGUUAUGCGGCUUAAUUCGACUCAACACGGGGAAUGUUACCAGGUCAGGACGUGGCAAGGAUGGACAGAUUGAGAGCUCUUUCUUGAUUCUUCGGAUGGUGGUGCAUGGCCGCUCCUGAUAGGUGAAGCGAUUUGUCUGGUUGAUUCCGAUAACGUGUGAGACAUCUGCCUCCCAGUAGGCCCGGGCCUCGCAUUCUGUAGGGUGGUCGCCGCGCAACCAUCCCGUCGGUGUCUCGGCACCGGCGGGACGCGCGAUGUACCCCCGAGAGGCGUCCGGUUCAGCUUCUCUGAGGUGCUGCGUACGCUGCCAAGUGCGCGCAUGCUAGAGCCAACAGCAGGUCUGUGAUGCUCCCAGAUGUCCUGGGCCGCACGCGCAACACAUUGACACAGUGAAGGUGUUCUCGACCAACCCCCAUUCGGGGGUCCUGCCCGGAAGUGGGUGGGAAACCAUUCGAAUCUGUGCUGUACUGGGGAUAGAUGAUUGCAACUGUCUGCCUUGAACGUGGAAUGCCUAGUAUGCGCGAGUCAUCAGCUCGCACCGAUUGUGUCCCUGCC
rnacentral:rRNA from 1 species